AGAAGAAACCUAAGUCACUAUUUGGUGUCUGAAUCGCUCUUUCCAACAUAAGUUUUUUAAAUAUGUUUAGCCAAACAAACAGCAUUCAAUCAUGCAUAAGCAUUUACGGUUGACAGUGAAGAAUAAGGAAGCAAAAAAGAGCGUCUAAGUCUUGUACUUUGAUUUGAGAAUCGAAACUCAUACAUUAUCUCUUCUAACCUUAAAAGGAAAUUAUUUGAUAAAGCUGAGGAUGGUUAUGAUGAAAUCGCUUCAUUCCAGUGUAAAGAAAGAUUAUGUAAAGUUCAGAAGCAUUGAGAGGGAGAUACAAAGAUACCACAUCGCAUUGGAAGUGAUGCAGCAGCAAGAUAUUGGGUGGAUGUUUUUACCAGCUUCAGUGGCAUGACCAAAUUGUUGCCGUCAUCCAUUCAUAAGUUGGAUAUGGCACAGGCAUGUCUUGUAAUCAAUUGGCUUUCUGCAUGAAAAUUUAAAGAUCAUUACACCACCUUUUUCAUUUUUUAUUAUAUUUUUAUGAAUAUCUUUAUAUUUAAUGUUUGAGGAGCCUGAUCCUUUUAUUUUUCCAUCUGAAAUAACGCUCUGUAUCUCCUCCUUCCAGAUCAGGAUCCUGAAUGAUGUUUUGGUCCAUCUAGACAAGAGAAUUUUUUUUGAGCUGUUUCAUCGUGACUUCUGCUCUCAGGUCUGGUUUAAGUUAACUUCAUUAUAGCUCUCCUGUGUUUCAAAUAUAAAAACAUUUUAUGCGCUAAGCUUAGUGGCACUUUAUGCAUUUGACUUCGUAAGAAUCUACUGUAUUAUCAGAAAGUACUUGACUAUGCAAGCUUUCCUCAAAUCAAAAGAUUGGCGGACACAAAGUGGCUUCUUCAUAGAUCUCUUUAUGAAAAAGCAAAACUACAGCUAAUGCAUCUAGAGCGAGACAUAUUAUUGGACCGAGUUAGUCAAUUGGAUUCCAG